GUCUGACCCCCCGAAACUAAGCGAGCUACUCUAAAGCAGUUUUAUAGAACCAACCCGUCCCUGUAGCAAAAGGGUGGGAAGACUUUAGAGUAGAGAUGACACACCUACCGAGCUUAGAGAUAGCUGGUUGUUCAUAAAAAGGAUCUUAGUCCAUCUUUAAGUUUCUCGAGUACUAUUAAACACCAAGUAGACUUAAAAGUCAUUCAAAUAGGGGACAGCCUAUUUGAAAAAGGACACAACCUAUAAUCCAGGGUAAUACCCCCCC
rnacentral:rRNA from 1 species